rnacentral:rRNA from 1 species
AUGUCCGACCGCCGCCGCGACAGGGAGAGGCCCCGCGAGCGCGGCGGCUACGACCAGCCGCGGGAGCGCGACCACGACGCCGACCGCCACCGCGACCGGGACCGCGACGUCGACCGCCACCGGGACCGGGACCGCGGCCAGGACAAGGAGCGGGACCGGGACCGGGACUACCGCCGCGCCCGCAAGCGCUCGCGCUCCCGCUCCCCCUCGGCCGACAGGGACCGCGCCCGCCGCCGCCGCUCCCACUCCCACUCCCACCCCCACCGGUCACGCUCCCCCGACGCCGGCCGCCACAAGCGCCGCCGCGAGGGGUCGCCCGUCGCCGACUCGAAGGAGGACAGGAAGCCGGAUCCCCCCAAGGCCGCCGAGGAGGCGGCCGCCCCGGUGGGCGACGGGGACGUGGACGCGGAGGAGCUGGAGAUGAUGAAGAUGAUGGGGAUCCCCGUCGGGUUCGACUCCACCAAGGGCAAGUACGUCCCCGGCGCCGACGUCAGCGGCGUGCGCGCCGUCACCAAGCGCCAGCCGCGGCAGUACAUGAACCGCAGGGGCGGGUUCAACCGUCCCCUGCCGCCCGAGGUCAACCGCUGA